ensembl:lncRNA
GAACUGCGAGAUGAAGAAGGACAGCGCCCUGAGCGGAAUAGGAACCAGUUCUGAACGCGUUCAGCAUCGCAAUGGGACAAUCUCGGUUUCCGCGGAUCUUCAAUCCUAGGACUUGACGUCGUUGGGGCUUUGAUGUGCUGCAGAACUAGUCGACCCUCCAAGCAUGAAUCAGUAGUCUCCUCAAAUCAACAGCGCUACAGGGUCCAGGACAGAGGUCAGAGCCGGCCCAGAGGACCAGGAUGUUCACCGGCUCCACCAAGAACCCCCCCGCCAAGACCCCCCAGCCUGACAGGCUGGAUGAGGUCUACGCAGCCCUGCGACGCGGCCUGCAGUGAGUCCACACACACACAUAGACGCACACGCAGACACACACACACACACACACAUACGCAGACUUACACGCACACACACAGAGACACACAGACACACUAACAGAUGCACGCACACACACACACGCAGACUUACACGCACAAACACAGACACACACAGACACACAAACAGACACACGCACACACAAACACACACGUGUGGACACAUACACACACACAAACAGACCCACACACACA